rnacentral:rRNA from 1 species
GAUGAACGCUGGCGGCGUGCCUAAUACAUGCAAGUCGAGCGAACGGACGAGAAGCUUGCUCCUCUGAUGUUAGCGGCGGACGGGUGAGUAACACGUGGAUAACCUACCUAUAAGACUGGGAUAACUUCGGGAAACCGGGGCUAAUACCGGAUAAUAUUUUGAACUGCAUGGUUCAAAAGUGAAAGACGGCCUUUCGGUUACUUAUAGCUGGAUCCGCGCUGCAUUAGCUAGUUGGUAAGGUAACGGCUUAGCAAGGCAACGAUGCAUAGCCGAACUGAAGGGGUGAUCGGCCACCUUGGAACUGGGCCACGGUCCAGACUCCUACGGGACGCAGCAGUAGGGAAUCUUCCGCAAUGGGGGAAAGCCUGACGGAGCAACGCCGCGUGAGUGAUGACGGUCCUCGGAUCGUAAAGCUCUGUUAUUAGGGAAGAACAUAUGUGUAAGUAACUGUGCACAUAUUGACGGUACCUAAUCAGAAAGCCACGGCUAACUACGUG